AUGGCCCCAGGGGCCGCUCUGAACCCAGCAGAGAAGGGCCCGGUCCACAAAGGGCAGGCUGUGCCCCACAGCACUUUCGGUGGGGAGGCCCCAGCCGCUCACUUUCGUUCCUUACAUUUUUAUUCAAGAAUUGUAAAGAAAGGGACACAGCGACCACCUCUCCCAGGCCAGAUCCGCUGCUGUGGCGCUGCCCAGAGCCGAGGCCCUGUGGGUGCGCCCGCGGGAGAGGCAGCUAGCAGACUCUGCGGCCAGGACCGCACAUCUCCAAGCCACCAUAGGCUGCACGCUGGCGUCGCCACUCCGGGGUACCGACUGCUGGGGAGAACAUCCCCCAGAGCCAGGCCCCAGGAAGAGGGCCACCGGCCACGCAGGGCCAGCGCGGGGAGCAGGCCAGGCCAAGGGCUCCCCGGCCCGCGUUCCACUUCCAUAAAAAGGCCCGGCCCGCCCUUGAUCACGCGGCUCGCCCAACAGCCCCGCUCCAGCCCCGGCCUAAUUGAGCCCCGGUCACCUGGGAAUAGGUUCAAAGGCAUCGAAGCCGUAAACCACCUCCAGACCCGGAGCCAGAGCGGCCUGGCGAACAAAGGGCCAGGAACCACUUCAAACGCGCUCGCGCUCUGCGUCCAGAUGGCGCGGGGCCGGGGUCCGCGGUGUUGCCCACCGAGGCCAGGCCCCGCUCUCCCGCCGCCCUGCGCCCGCGGGCGCCCAGCGCCGGGAGAGCUCCAGGGCGUUCUCGGUGCGCGGCAGGCCGAGAGGAGCGGGGAGGACGCGGCGGGGCAAGGCGGCGCCCCGGGCACUGGGCGCUCCCGCAGAGGCUCGCUGCGGCGCCCGGCUUUAACAGCACUUCAAUGGACAGCUGGGGACAGGCGUCGGGGCAGGCACUCCCCAGGCAGCGGGCGCGGGAAGCGGGCCCCAUCGCGCGGGGUGGCCGGGACGGGCGGUGCGCGAGUGGAGACGGGCGUCUCCGGACCGCACCGAGUGUCCACACGCGCUCCAGCCUCAGGCCCGAGUGUGCGCCCUCCCGGGGCCAGCGAAGGCGCACUCGGGACUGGGUGCUCCCAGAGAGGUUCCAGGUCGCGUCCUCACCUCCGGGGAGCGCAUCUGGCUUCGGAAUGCCUCCUGCACCCGGCCAGAGACUCAGCGGCCCGGCGCGGCCCCCUCUCCCUGGGGAGGCGGAGACAAAGCCAGGCCCGGUCGGGCGUGGGCUCCGAGCGGCCCGCGGCGAGGGCGCGGGCGGCGCGCGAGGACCGCGUCUUGGGGCGAUGCGGGCCGCGGCCGGGGCCGCCGGAGAGGCAAAACUGA
rnacentral:lncRNA from 1 species